CCUUCGAUUCCUAAAGUGGUUUUUUUUUUUUUUUUGUGUAGUGUUUGUGGUGUGAUUACAAUAAGAGUUGCUUAGCCUCGAUACAAAGAGCUAUAUGUAAUAAGUGGUUCUUAUCUACUGUCACGGCGAAUCAAUCAGAAGGGGGACACUUAAAAGCUACCGACGAAUGUUGUGUCACGUGUAAAAGACGCCGAAUUGUUUCUCUUGUUCCUUUCUUUUUCUUUUUUUCUUCUUUUUUAAUUCCGUUUUCCGUCGUAUUCCGAAAAAUGAUUGGUCGAUCGUCCAAAUUCAGGAUCCUUUUUCUUCUUGUCAGCAGAAGAGAGACAGGCGAGAGCUGCGUCGUACGAACUUUUCGAAGCGAUUCAUCCGCGCACGCUCUGUUUGUUGUCCAGGCGACGCGGAUAUUUUGAGAAAAAAGCACGUGCGCUCUCGAAAGUUUGUUUUUUACCUUCUUUUUUUUUUCUGUGCAGGCAGUGCGAGUAGAAAAAAUCUUGUUGCUUUCUUUUUUUCUUUUUUUUCCUUUUUUUUUUUUCUUUUUCUGAUACUUGUUCUUGACCGCUUGCUCUCUCUCUUUCUUCUUCUCCUUUUCUUUCUUUUUUUUUCUUUUUUACUUGAUUUUUUUGUUCAAAGAUAGUUUCGCGCUUUUUGCAGAAGUAUUGGAAUGCUUUGUAGUUUUUGUAUUUUUUUGCAAGAUGAGAAUUUUAACCACGCGUUCCCCCCCUCCCCACACCUU